UGCAGUCGGACGGGAUUGAGGAGCUUGCUUCUCAUGAGAGUGGCGCACGGGUGCGUAACACGUAUGUAACCUACCUUGUUCAGGGGGAUAGCCUCUCGAAAGAGAGAUUAACACCGCAUAAAAUCAAUUUAUGGCAUCAUAGAAUGAUCAAAUAUUUAUAGGAACAAGAUGGGCAUGCGGAACAUUAGCUAGUUGGUAAGGUAACGGCUUACCAAGGCUACGAUGUUUAGGGGAUCUGAGAGGAUGACCCCCCACACUGGUACUGAGACACGGACCAGACUCCUACGGGAGGCAGCAGUAAGGAAUAUUGGUCAAUGGACGCAAGUCUGAACCAGCCAUGCCGCGUGCAGGAAGACGGCCCUACGGGUUGUAAACUGCUUUGUACCGGAAUAAACCUUUUCACGUGUGAGAAGCUGAAUGUACGGUAAGAAUAAGGAUCGGCUAACUCCGUGCCAGCAGCCGCGGUAAUACGGAGGAUCCAAGCGUUAUCCGGAUUUAUUGGGUUUAAAGGGUGCGUAGGUGGCCUAUUAAGUCAGGGGUGAAAGACGGUAGCUUAACUAUCGCAGUGCCUUUGAUACUGAUGGGCUUGAAUACACUUGAGGUAGGCGGAAUGUGACAAGUAGCGGUGAAAUGCAUAGAUAUGUCACAGAACACCAAUUGCGAAGGCAGCUUACUAAGGUGUUAUUGACACUGAGGCACGAAAGCGUGGGGAUCAAACAGGAUUAGAUACCCUGGUAGUCCACGCCCUAAACGAUGAAUACUCGAUGUUGGCGAUAUACGGUCAGCGUCUAAGCGAAAGCGUUAAGUAUUCCACCUGGGGAGUACGCCCGCAAGGGUGAAACUC
rnacentral:rRNA from 1 species